GAUGAACGCUGGCGGCGUGCCUAAUACAUGCAAGUCGAGCGAACGGACGAGAAGCUUGCUUCUCUGAUGUUAGCGGCGGACGGGUGAGUAACACGUGGAUAACCUACCUAUAAGACUGGGAUAACUUCGGGAAACCGUAUCUAAUACCGGAUAAUAUUUUGAACCGCAUGGUUCAUAAGUGAAAGACGGUCUUGCUGUCACUUAUAGAUGGAUCCGCGCUGCAUUAGCUAGUUGGUAAGGUAACGGCUUACCAAGGCAACGAUGCAUAGCCGACCUGAGAGGGUGAUCGGCCACACUGGAACUGAGACACGGUCCAGACUCCUACGGGAGGCAGCAGUAGGGAAUCUUCCGCAAUGGGCGAAAGCCUGACGGAGCAACGCCGCGUGAGUGAUGAAGGUCUUCGGAUCGUAAAACUCUGUUAUUAGGGAAGAACAUAUGUGUAAGUAACUGUGCACAUCUUGACGGUACCUAAUCAGAAAGCCACGGCUAACUACGUG
rnacentral:rRNA from 1 species